rnacentral:rRNA from 1 species
GACGAACGCUGGCGGCGUGCUUAACACAUGCAAGUCGAACGGAAAGGCCCUGCUUGCAGGGUACUCGAGUGGCGAACGGGUGAGUAACACGUGGGUGAUCUGCCCUGCACUUCGGGAUAAGCCUGGGAAACUGGGUCUAAUACCGGAUAGGAGCCAUUUUUAGUGUGAUGGUUGGAAAGUUUUUUCGGUGUAGGAUGAGCUGGCGGCCUAUCAGCUUGUUGGUGGGGUAAUGGCCUACCAAGGCGGCGACGGGUAGCCGGCCUGAGAGGGUGGACGGCCACAUUGGGACUGAGAUACGGCCCAGACUCCUACGGGAGGCAGCAGUGGGGAAUAUUGCACAAUGGGCGCAAGCCUGAUGCAGCGACGCCGCGUGGGGGAUGACGGCCUUCGGGUUGUAAACUCAUUUCGCUAGGGACGAAGCUUUUUGUGACGGUACCUAGAGAAGAAGCACCGGCUAACUACGUG